rnacentral:snRNA from 1 species
CGGGAUCCCUCGCGGGUG